AUUGAACGCUGGCGGCAUGCCUUACACAUGCAAGUCGAACGGUAACAGGUCUUCGGACGCUGACGAGUGGCGAACGGGUGAGUAAUGCAUCGGAACGUGCCCAGUCGUGGGGGAUAACUGCUCGAAAGAGCAGCUAAUACCGCAUACGACCUGAGGGUGAAAGCGGGGGACCGUAAGGCCUCGCGCGAUUGGAGCGGCCGAUGUCAGAUUAGCUAGUUGGUGGGGUAAAGGCCUACCAAGGCAACGAUCUGUAGUUGGUCUGAGAGGACGACCAGCCACACUGGGACUGAGACACGGCCCAGACUCCUACGGGAGGCAGCAGUGGGGAAUUUUGGACAAUGGGCGCAAGCCUGAUCCAGCAAUGCCGCGUGCAGGAAGAAGGCCUUCGGGUUGUAAACUGCUUUUGUCAGGGAAGAAAUCUUCUGGGCUAAUACCCCGGGAGGAUGACGGUACCUGAAGAAUAAGCACCGGCUAACUACGUG
rnacentral:rRNA from 2 species